GACGAACGCUGGCGGCGUGCUUAACACAUGCAAGUCGAACGGAAAGGCCUGCUUUCCCUUGUGGAUUGCGGGUACUCGAGUGGCGAACGGGUGAGUAACACGUGAGUGAUCUGCCCCCAACUUGGGUAUAAGCCUGGGAAACUGGGUCUAAUUCCCGAUAGGACUGCAGGGUGGUGCCUGUGGUGGAAAACGAUUUUCUAGUGGUUGGGGAUGAGCUCGCGGCCUAUCAGCUUGUUGGUGGGGUAAUGGCCUACCAAGGCGGCGACGGGUGGCCGGCCUGAGAGGGUGGACGGCCACAUUGGGACUGAGAUACGGCCCAGACUCCUACGGGAGGCAGCAGUGGGGAAUAUUGCACAAUGGGCGGAAGCCUGAUGCAGCGACGCCGCGUGGGGGAUGACGGCCUUCGGGUGGUAAACUCCUUUCGACCGCGAGGAAGCCACCUGGUUGGAAGGGUGGUGACGGUAGUGGUAGAAGAAGCACCGGCUAACUACGUG
rnacentral:rRNA from 1 species